GCCCUCAUAGCUCAAUGGAUAGAGCAACUCCCUUCUAAGGAGAAGAUGACAGUUCGAUUCCGUCUGAGGGCA
rnacentral:tRNA from 1 species